GUUUUCACAAAAAGAAGUGACCAAACUAAUAUUUCCUAUAUUUUGCAGUCAAAAGUCACUGAAAUUUGGAUUACUACCAAAAACUACGAUAUCAAAAUACAGCCACUGAAUUGGUGUUUUCAAUUCAGGUGGAUUAGACUGAAGAUUGAGGGUCCAGCUGCUGAAAUGUGGGAAGACAGGCAAUGAUUAAGAAGCAUGAAAAUACUCUGGAGGCUUAAUGAUUCCCAUAGUUGUCCUUGAUAUAUUUUCAAAAAUGUUAAGAAAGGAAGUUAUAUUAUAAUCUAAGUUAUUGCCAUUAAAAUUUUUCUUAAGAUUCGUUAUGACUGCGAAAGGCAAAGGGAAAAGAAAACUGUAUGCUCAGGGAAUCUGUUGUGUUGAGUAGAAAUGCAGGAGCUGUAAUCAGAAUUCUGUACAGAAUGUUGUUGUUGUUGUUGUUGUUUAAUCUCUAGUCUUGGCUGAUUCUUUUGCCAUCCCAGGGACUGUAGACCACAAGUUUCCUCAGUCCAUGAAUUUCCCGGAUAAGAAAGCAAUACUGGCAUGGGUUGCCACUUCCUUCUCCAGGGGAUCUUCCCAACCCAGGGACUAAACCCGAGUCUCCUGCAUUGGCAGGGGAUCUUCCCGACCCAGUGAUCCAACCCGAGUCUCCUGCAUUACAGUUGGAUUCUUUACCACUGAGCCACCACGGAAGGAAGAACGUUGUCAUUGCACAGAUGAAGGACUUGG
ensembl:lncRNA